rnacentral:rRNA from 1 species
AAUAGAUACCCCGGUAGUCCAUGCCGUAAACGAUGUCUACUAGCCGUUGGGGCCUUUGAGGCUUUAGUGGCGCAGCUAACGCGAUAAGUAGACCGCCUGGGGAGUACGGUCGCAAGACUAAAACUCAAAUGAAUUGACGGGGGCCCGCACAAGCGGUGGAGCAUGUGGUUUAAUUCGAUGCAACGCGAAGAACCUUACCUGGUCUUGACAUAGUAAGAACUUUCCAGAGAUGGAUUGGUGCCUUCGGGAACUUACAUACAGGUGCUGCAUGGCUGUCGUCAGCCCGUGUCGUGAGAUGUUGGGUUAAGUCCCGCAACGAGCGCAACCCUUUUCCUUAUUUGCCAGCGGGUUAAGCCGGGAACUUUAAGGAUACUGCCAGUGACAAACUGGAGGAAGGCGGGGACGACGUCAAGUCAUCAUGGCCCUUACGACCAGGGCUACACACGUGCUACAAUGGUCGGUACAAAGGGUUGCUACCACGCGAGUGGAUGCUAAUCUCAAAAAGCCGAUCGUAGUCCGGAUUGGAGUCUGCAACUCGACUCC